rnacentral:rRNA from 1 species
GAUGAACGCUGGCGGCGUGCCUAAUACAUGCAAGUCGAGCGAACAGACGAGGAGCUUGCUCCUCUGACGUUAGCGGCGGACGGGUGAGUAACACGUGGAUAACCUACCUAUAAGACUGGUAUAACUUCGGGAAACCGGAGCUAAUACCGGAUAACAUGUUGAACCGCAUGGUUCAACAGUGAAAGACGGUCUUGCUGUCACUUAUAGAUGGAUCCGCGCCGCAUUAGCUAGUUGGUAAGGUAACGGCUUACCAAGGCAACGAUGCGUAGCCGACCUGAGAGGGUGAUCGGCCACACUGGAACUGAGACACGGUCCAGACUCCUACGGGAGGCAGCAGUAGGGAAUCUUCCGCAAUGGGCGAAAGCCUGACGGAGCAACGCCGCGUGAGUGAAGAAGGUCUUCGGAUCGUAAAACUCUGUUAUUAGGGAAGAACAAAUGUGUAAGUAACUAUGCACGUCUUGACGGUACCUAAUCAGAAAGCCACGGCUAACUACGUG